GAUGAACGCUGGUGGCGUGCCUAAUACAUGCAAGUCGAGCGAACGGACGAGAAGCUUGCUUCUCUGAUGUUAGCGGCGGACGGGUGAGUAACACGUAGAUAACCUACCUAUAAGACUGGGAUAACUUCGGGAAACCGGAGCUAAUACCGGAUAAUAUUUUGAACCGCAUGGUUCAAAAGUGAAAGACGGUCUUGCUGUCACUUAUAGAUGGAUCCGCGCUGCAUUAGCUAGUUGGUAAGGUAACGGCUUACCAAGGCAACGAUGCAUAGCCGACCUGAGAGGGUGAUCGGCCACACUGGAACUGAGACACGGUCCAGACUCCUACGGGAGGCAGCAGUAGGGAAUCUUCCGCAAUGGGCGAAAGCCUGACGGAGCAACGCCGCGUGAGUGAUGAAGGUCUUCGGAUCGUAAAACUCUGUUAUUAGGGAAGAACAUAUGUGUAAGUAACUGUGCACAUCUUGACGGUACCUAAUCAGAAAGCCACGGCUAACUACGUG
rnacentral:rRNA from 1 species